rnacentral:rRNA from 1 species
AUUGAACGCUGGCGGCAGGCUUAACACAUGCAAGUCGAGCGAGCGGCGGACGGGUGAGUAAUGUCUGGGAAACUGCCUGAUGGAGGGGGAUAACUACUGGAAAGGGUAGCUAAUACCGCAUACCAUCAGAUGCGCCCAGAUGGGAGUAGCUAGUGGGGGGGGUAAUGGCUCACCUAGGACACGAUCCCUAGCUGGUCUGAGAGGAUGACCAGCCACACUGGAACUGAGACACGGUCCAGACUCCUACGGGAGGCAGCAGUGGGGAAUAUUGCACAAUGGGCGCAAGCCUGAUGCAGCCAUGCCGCGUGUGUGAAGAAGGCCUUCGGGUUGUAAAGCACUUUCAGCUAGGAGGCGGUACUCGCAGAAGAAGCACCGGCUAACUACGUGCCAGCAGCCGCGGUAAUUC